GUGCAGAUGUGGACGGAACAGUCAGGAAUGCUGUACUACCUCUUCACCUGUAGAAGCCGUUCUUCUGAAGUAAUGGGAGAAAUAGAGCACCAGUGACACUCACAUCCCUGACCCCCUUCUCUGGACAAGGUCACAGACAAAAGGAGCCAAAAUGAAAAGAAAGUUUAGCUGAAAAGCCUAAUAUUUUUAGACUCUGCAUUUUGAAGGAGCUUUUGAUGCCAGGUUUCAGCUCUCUGCAGUAGUACUGUUCAACACCAGUCACUUAAAGAAAAAGAAGAGAGAUUAGAGAUGACCGGAAUGGGAGAAGAAUAUUUUUAAUCCAUCCCUUUGAAACAUUUAAAAAGGAGAAAGGUUUUCAUAGUCAUUUUUGAAGGACUCUAUAGUAGUAUUUAUACUGCUUUCUAUUUUUUCUUCUACUCUGCAUUACAAUAUAGGAUUGAAUGCUCUAUUCUAUAUAAUCGGGAUUGCAGCUAUUCAGUGCUAUCAAUUUGAAUUGUGGUGAUUUGAUCCCAUUUAAAGCUUGAGGACAUGAGUUAAUUGAUUUUUAUUCAUUCCCUGCACACAUGAUGAACAGCCCAGAAUGUUACAUUAUUAUGUCUUAACUCAAUUCGUAUACAGUGCAACUUUUUAUGUGUUUCCAAUACUUUGUAAAUCAAUAGGAACCUGGUCCAUUUGGCCAAAGCACCUGUUU